GAGGGCUGCGGGAGUGACAGAUCGGCAGCUCGGCGCUCGGCUGCGGGGCCUGGGGCGCGCUGCGCGUUCCAGGGAGAAAGCUUCGUGCGCGAGCGCAGAGCUCCGCCCCUUCCGGAGAGGUCCCAGGCUGCUACCUGCGUAGCUCCCGGCAGCCGCGGGGAGCGAAGUGUCAACCUGCUGUGCUCAGUUGCCGACACAGUGGAGAAUUCCAUCCGCCUUCGCCCAUCUGUCACACCCAGUCCACUCAGUCCACCUUCUCUUUCAUCGUCUGCUUCCUGUGCUUUGCACUAACAGUGCUUUGUAAACCUAUCAAUGGAAACCCUUUAAAAUGAAUCAUCACGUUCUAGGAAUGGAGCUUUUGGUUUUUUCAAUACUAAGCAAAGCCAAAGAGCCGGAAGUUUCACCACCACCACCUCUAAGCCAGCACAGAUGAGUACUCAGAAAUUCUGAGAGCCUUUAUAUCUCCUGCUGGCCCAGGAAUAACAGAGACCCAUCCCUGCGCUUUAAAACCAGUUCCAGGUCUGUGAUAAAUUUCCACUAACCACGAUUGAGUUUCUCUUUCUCUGCAUCCUUUGCUCUGAUUCCUUACUUCUUCCUUUCUCUGUUGCAUGACAUCUCCCAUGCCAUCAGUUUCAUGAAGAAAUGCUUCUCUGGCAAAUGCCUGUAAAUAGCUCUGAAGAGGUGAUUCCGAUAGCUCUAUGCAGAAUAUGCAGUGAAAGGCUCCUUUAAGGCUGUUUUGAUCGCUUGGACUUUAUCCUCAAAGGGAGACAAGAAAAUGGAAAGAAAAAAAGUACUUCAGUAGAAAAGCUGCCAUCCUUACUUGUUGCUGUGGCUCCCUCCCAAGAUCGAUUCUUAUCUCUCUGAAAUGUAAGUCCAAAUAAACCCUUCCUUCUAUAA